UUUUGUACGAUUAAACUAAAAAAUUAUAUUGUUGAUUCUAACAAUCGAUUGAUUAUUGAAUCAAAAAAAUUUGAUUGUUGAUUUAACAAUAUUUUUUGCUUAAAAUAACAAUAUUAUUUUUAUUUCAACAAUAUUUAUUGUUGAUCUUAUUUGCGUUAUUAAGAAUAAGCGUGUACCUUGCAUGUUUACCUUUUAUGUUUGUUCUUCAGUCUUGAACUAAAUAAAAGAUUUCCCCGUGAUAGGAAACUCACUGUUUCCUAGAGAAAUAAACAAAUGUUUAGUGCAAACAUAAAUGAUAAUAAGGAACCAAGAAAGGGAAGAGCUACGCCAACGUCAUCCGCCUUCAUUUACUCCCGGAUAAAUGGAUGGUGAAAAUACCAGGUCUUUUCUACAGACACAUCUGCAUCCUCCGCUUUCAUGUACAGCUUCGCUUCACAACAUCAUCAACAACAGCUG